CCUGGUGGCCAUAGCGCGGGGAAAACACCCGAUCCCAUCCCGAACUCGGCCGUAAAGACCCGCCGCGCCGAUGGUACUCCGGCUCAAGCCGUGGAAGAGUAGGUCGCCGCCAGGC
rfam:Rhizobiales bacterium NRL2, complete genome.